GACGAACCGAGCGAACGUUAUUCGGAAUCACUGGGCUUAAAGGGUGCGUAGGCGGGUCUGUAAGUCAGGGGUGAAAUCCCACGGCCCAACCGUGGAAGUGCCUCUGAUACUGCGGGCCUGGAGGGGGAUAGGGGCGUGCGGAACUUCCGGUGGAGCGGUGAAAUGCGUAGAUAUCGGAAGGAACACCGGUGGCGAAAGCGGCGCGCUGGAUCCCUACUGACGCUGAGGCACGAAAGCCAGGGGAGCAAACGGG
rnacentral:rRNA from 1 species